rnacentral:miRNA from 1 species
AAACUGGAACGAACUUUUUGGCC